rnacentral:rRNA from 1 species
UUAACACAUGCAAGUCGAGCGGAAACGAUGAUAGCUUGCUAUCAGGCGUCGAGCGGCGGACGGGUGAGUAAUACUUAGGAAUCUACCUAGUAGUGGGGGAUAGCUCGGGGAAACUCGAAUUAAUACCGCAUACGACCUACGGGAGAAAGGGGGCAGUUUACUGCUCUCGCUAUUAGAUGAGCCUAAGUCGGAUUAGCUAGAUGGUGGGGUAAAGGCCUACCAUGGCGACGAUCUGUAGCUGGUCUGAGAGGAUGAUCAGCCACACCGGGACUGAGACACGGCCCGGACUCCUACGGGAGGCAGCAGUGGGGAAUAUUGGACAAUGGGGGCAACCCUGAUCCAGCCAUGCCGCGUGUGUGAAGAAGGCCUUUUGGUUGUAAAGCACUUUAAGCAGUGAAGAAGACUCCAUGGUUAAUACCCAUGGACGAUGACAUUAGCUGCAGAAUAAGCACCGGCUAACUCUGUGCCAGCAGCCGCGGUAAUACAGAGGGUGCAAGCGUUAAUCGGAAUUACUGGGCGUAAAGCGAGCGUAGGUGGCUUGAUAAGUCAGAUGUGAAAUCCCCGGGCUUAACCUGGGAACUGCAUCUGAUACUGUUAGGCUAGAAUAGGUGAGAGGAAGGUAGAAUUCCAGGUGUAGCGGUGAAAUGCGUAGAGAUCUGGAGGAAUACCGAUGGCGAAGGCAGCCUUCUGGCAUCAUAUUGACACUGAGGUUCGAAAGCGUGGGUAGCAAAACAGGAUUAGAUACCCUGGUAGUCCACGCCGUAAAACGAU